UUUUGAGAAAAUAAAAUAAAAUUUAGAUAAUUUAUUUAUUUGGUACAAAAAUAAUAAAAAUAAUCCAAUAUGCACCAUGAAGGGCAUUUUGGUCAUUUCACCCAUAGAGGUGAAUUUUGACAUAAAUGUCAAAUUAAAAUUAGGAAAUAAAAUAAAUAACAUAAAUUAAAUUUAUGAAAUAGAUUAGGAAAAUGAGAAGAGAAAAGAAAAGAAAAGAAAAGAAAGGAAAAGAAAAGAAAAGAAAAGAAAAGGUUUAGGAAAAUUCAAAAAAAAAAAUGUAUAUAAAUAGGCACUAGAGGACAAACUCCCACCCACUUCCAUCUUCUUCCUCCAUUUCUUCUCUCUCUCUCUUUCCCUCAUUUCCUCCAUUGUUGUCAAGCUUUCAAGCUUGAUUUCCCAAGCUUCUACCCAUCAAAACCUUUAGCACCCUUCACAAAAAAUACUCCCCACUCCAUAAGGAAGCCAUAGAUACCCAUAAGAAGCAAGAAAGUUGAGGUUUGGGAAGCUCAAGUAAGGUACUGAAGAUCAGCAGCCGCCACAGUAGUAUUCGGACAGAGUUCCGACCAGAUCUGCCACCGAUCAGAGUCACCUCAUCAGUCUUUUGUAUUUUGGUAGGGCCCAUGUGUAGACUAGUAUUUUGGUUCAUUAUGUCUAGUCAUGAUGUAAUUACUAGUUUAUGAUGUAUUUUAUUUUGGACUUGAAAUGAAAACUUAUAAUUUAUUAUCUAUAAAUUUCCAUAUGAAUGCAA